rnacentral:rRNA from 1 species
UACGAAGGGGGCUAGCGUUGCUCGGAAUCACUGGGCGUAAAGCGCACGUAGGCGGACUCUUAAGUCAGGGGUGAAAUCCUGGAGCUCAACUCCAGAACUGCCUUUGAUACUGGGAGUCUUGAGUCCGGAAGAGGUAAGUGGAACUGCGAGUGUAGAGGUGAAAUUCGUAGAUAUUCGCAAGAACACCAGUGGCGAAGGCGGCUCACUGGCCCGAUACUGACGCUGAGGUGCGAAAGCGUGGGGAGCAAACAGG